CACACCGCCCGUCACACCAUGGGAGUUGGCUUUACCCGAAGGCGGUGCGCUAACCAGCAAUGGGAGGCAGCCGACCACGGUAGGGUCAGCGACUGGGGUG
rnacentral:rRNA from 1 species